rnacentral:rRNA from 1 species
AUUCCCCACUGCUGCCUCCCGUAGGAGUCUGGGCCGUGUCUCAGUCCCAAUGUGGCCGUUCACCCUCUCAGGCCGGCUACCCAUCAUCGUUUUGGUGGGCCGUUACCUCACCAACUAACUAAUGCGCCAUAAACCCAUCC